UACGAAGGGGGCUAGCGUUGUUCGGAAUUACUGGGCGUAAAGCGUGCGCAGGCGGUUUUGUAAGUCUGUCGUGAAAUCCCCGGGCUCAACCUGGGAAUUGCGAUGGAGACUGCAAGGCUGGAGUCUGGCAGAGGGGGGGUAGAAUUCCACGUGUAGCAGUGAAAUGCGUAGAGAUGUGGAGGAACACCGAUGGCGAAGGCAGCCCCCUGGGUCAAGACUGACGCUCAUGCACGAAAGCGUGGG
rnacentral:rRNA from 1 species